rnacentral:lncRNA from 1 species
AAAUGACAAGAGAAGAAGCCAUUGACAUCAAAAUGCUACAUGACUCUCCUGAGUGCAGCUGCCAAGUGGGUAAAGAGAGUGGAUGGGGCCAGGUACAUUAGAGCCUGGAGUGUGAUCAUCUGAAGAAUGCAUGUUCAAAAUUCUGAAAUCCAGGGCACUUGUAUGUAAACUUCCAGUUUUGAAAUGGGAGUGGGCUACUGAUUUGCUACUUAUUAGACAAACCUAAGAUGAAAAUUUUAGGUGCUAGAAGUAAGGAAACAUUGGGUUCUGUUUCAAAGGUGGUGCAGGGAUGGGGAUGCGGUACUGUCACUUGCUAAGAGUAAAGGGAGAGGAACAAACCACAAGGGAAAAGGACAAGACAUUGGCAUGAAUUGAAGGAAGAAGCCUUAACCCAAACUAAUGAGUGGCCUUUGAAUGAGGGCAUGACAUGAGAGGUAAACUAG